rnacentral:rRNA from 1 species
UGCGCAGGCGGUUUUUUAAGACAGGCGUGAAAUCCCCGGGCUUAACCCCGGAAUUGCAUUUGAAACUGUAAUACUUGAGUACUGGAGAGGUAAGUGGAAUUCCUAGUGUAGCGGUGAAAUGCGUAGAUAUUAGGAGGAACACCAGUGGCGAAGGCGACUUACUGGACAGAUACUGACGCUGAGGCGCGAAAGCGUGGGGAGCAAACAGGAUUAGAUACCCUCGUA